UUAGGAUUUGAUUUAGGAUUAGGAUUUGGUUAGAGUUUGAUUUAGGAUUUAAGACUAGGAUUAGGAUUUGGUUAUGAUUUGAUUUAGGGUUAGGAUUUAGGAUUUGGUUAGGAUUUGAUCUAGGAUUAGAGUUUAAUUAGGAUUACAUUAGGAUUUGAUUUAAGAUUUAGGAUUUAAGAUUAGGGUUAGGAUUUUGUAAGGAUUUUAUUUAGGAUUAGAGUUUAGGAUUUAGUUAGGAUUUGAUUUAGAAUUUAGGAUUUGAUUAGGAUUUGAUUUAGGAUUUAGGUUUUUAUUUGAGUUUUUUUAGGAUUUAAGAUUUAGUUAGUUUUGGCCUAAAGUUUGAAUGAAGUCUAAUAAGAUUUCAACUAAGAUUAAAUUAAGAUUGAAUUGAGAUGUAUUUAAAAUAUAUUUGUAAUAAUUCUAAUAAUCUUUAAGAUUUCUUAUUGUUUCUUUGGAAUUCUUUUGAGAUUUCUCUGAAUUUGAUAAAAGCUUAUUUAGCAUUGUUAGUGUUCUAU
rnacentral:lncRNA from 1 species